rnacentral:rRNA from 1 species
CCUACGGGAGGCAGCAGUGAGGAAUAUUGGUCAAUGGACGAGAGUCUGAACCAGCCAAGUAGCGUGAAGGAUGACUGCCCUAUGGGUUGUAAACUUCUUUUAUAUGGGAAUAAAAUGUUCCACGUGUGGGCUUUUGUGUGUCCCAUAUGAAUAAGCAUCGGCUAACUCCGUGCCAGCAGCCGCGGUAAUACGGAGGAUCCGGGCGUUAUCCGGAUUUAUUGGGUUUAAAGGGGGCGGAGGUGGUUUGUUAAGUCAGUGGUGAAAGUUCGCGGCUCAAACCUAAAAUUGCAGUUGAAACUGGCAGUCUUGAGUACAGUAGAGGUAUGCGGAAUGCGUGGUGUAGCGGUGAAAUGCUUAGAUAUCACGAAGAACUCCGAUUGCGAAGGCAGCUCACUGGACUGAAACUGACACUGAGGCACGAAAGUGUGGGUAUCGAACAGGAUUAGAUACCCUAGUAGUC